rnacentral:rRNA from 1 species
AGUGAACGCUGGCGGCGUGCUUAACACAUGCAAGUCGAACGAUGAAGCUUUAGCUUGCUAGAGCGGAUUAGUGGCGCACGGGUGAGUAAUGUAUAGUUAAUCUGCCCUUUAGAGGGGGAUAACAGUUGGAAACGACUGCUAAUACCCCAUACUCCUUCUGUAUUAAUUACAGUUGGGAAAGUUUUUUCGCUAAAGGAUGAGACUAUAUGGUAUCAGCUAGUUGGUGGGGUAAUGGCUCACCAAGGCAAUGACACCUAGCUGGUCUGAGAGGAUGAUCAGCCACACUGGAACUGAGACACGGUCCAGACUCCUACGGGAGGCAGCAGUGGGGAAUAUUGCACAAUGGAGGAAACUCUGAUGCAGCAACGCCGCGUGGUGGAUGACACAUUUCGGUGCGUAAACUCCUUUUAUAUGGGAAGAUAAUGACGGUACCAUAUGAAUAAGCACCGGCUAACUCCGUGCCAGCCGCCGCAGUAAAAC